AGGCCUGUGCACUUCGGGUUGGAUUUGCUCUUGGGAACAAGAUCUGUGACAGCACACACUGCUUCCUGGCCUUCUAGCGCGACCGAGAUCGAUGGAAAGAAUCCCAACCGUCUCCAAAGUUCAUCUGAGUCCCGCCUCUAGCCUGGAUGCCCUCCUUGUCUUGGGCCGACCACUAAAUCCAUCGAAACAUUUCCGCCUGAGAUGAGACCCGAGGCCCAAAGUUCAGCCUGGCUAGAUUGAAACUCAUCUCACCAAUCAAACCUCAAAUAAAAAUCACCGAAUCA